GGGCCUUUACCUCGUAGGAAGACUAAUUGAUUUCACUAGUUACAAUACUUCUAUUGUUUUAUUUUUUAAACACAAAUAAACACUAUAGUGGAUUUGCUCUUCUUUCCCCUUUUCUACUUUUGCCAAAAGAGUCAAAGGUUAUUCAAUUAAAGGCAUCUAGAAAGUGUGACAAAGAAAUCUAUUGGUGGAAUAUAUCUACUGUUAAAGGGAAAGAAAAGAGAAGAAAGGAGGAAGACGAUAAAGGAUUGCAGGGAAGAGGGAAGGAAGCCUCUCAGGGACCAGCAGUAACUCUGAUGGAUGGCUGGUGUGGGGAACCGGCACAGACACUAUGGAAAAUGGUAUGGAGACUCCUCAAGAAAUUAAAAAUGGAACUCCCACGUGAUCCAGGAAUAUACCCAUUUCUGGGUAUAUAUCCAGAAGAAAUGAAAAGAGGAUUCUAAGGAGUUAUCUGCAUUCCCAUGUUCACGGCAACUUUAUUACAACAGCCAAGAUAUGAAAACAGAUUGUGUCCAUCAAUGGAAGAUGUGUACUUAGGAGUGGAAUAGCUAUGUUGCAGGAUUCAUUGGGAGGAGCUAAGAUGGCGGAGGAGUAGGACGGGGAGGACACUUUCUCCCCUACAAAUUCAUCAAAAGAACAUUUAAACGCGGAGUAAAUUCCACAAAACAACUUCUGAAAGCCGGCAGAGGACAUCAGGCACCCAGAAAAGCAACCCAAGUCUUCAAAAGGAGAUGAAUAUGCCGAGGUUACCAAGUGCUAUUCACUGUCAAAGCCCAUGAGCUGCAUUUUAAGGUGAUCAUCAU
ensembl:lncRNA